UACGUAGGUCCCGAGCGUUGUCCGUAUUUAUUGGGCGUAAAGCGAGCGCAGGUGGUUUAUUAAGUCUGGUGUAAAAGGCAGUGGCUCAACCAUUGUAUGCAUUGGAAACUGGUAGACUUGAGUGCAGGAGAGGAGAGUGGAAUUCCAUGUGUAGCGGUGAAAUGCGUAGAUAUAUGGAGGAACACCGGUGGCGAAAGCGGCUCUCUGGCCUGUAACUGACACUGAGGCUCGAAAGCGUGGGGAGCAAACAGG
rnacentral:rRNA from 1 species